rnacentral:rRNA from 2 species
AGUUAGAUCUUGGCUCAGGACGAACGCUGGCGGCGUGCUUAACACAUGCAAGUCGAACGGUGAUGUCAGAGCUUGCUCUGGCGGAUCAGUGGCGAACGGGUGAGUAACACGUGAGUAACCUGCCCCCGACUCUGGGAUAACUGCUAGAAAUGGUAGCUAAUACCGGAUAUGACGAUUGGCCGCAUGGUCUGGUCGUGGAAAGAAUUUCGGUUGGGGAUGGACUCGCGGCCUAUCAGGUUGUUGGUGAGGUAAUGGCUCACCAAGCCUACGACGGGUAGCCGGCGUGAGAGGGUGACCGGCCACACUGGGACUGAGACACGGCCCAGACUCCUACGGGAGGCAGCAGUGGGGAAUAUUGCACAAUGGGCGAAAGCCUGAUGCAGCAACGCCGCGUGAGGGAUGACGGCCUUCGGGUUGUAAACCUCUUUUAGUAGGGAAGAAGCGAAAGUGACGGUACCUGCAGAAAAAGCACCGGCUAACUACGUGCCAGCAGCCGCGGUAAUACGUAGGGUGCAAGCGUUGUCCGGAAUUAUUGGGCGUAAAGAGCUCGUAGGCGGUUUGUCGCGUCUGCUGUGAAAUCCCGAGGCUCAACCUCGGGUCUGCAGUGGGUACGGGCAGACUAGAGUGCGGUAGGGGAGAUUGGAAUUCCUGGUGUAGCGGUGGAAUGCGCAGAUAUCAGGAGGAACACCGAUGGCGAAGGCAGAUCUCUGGGCCGUAACUGACGCUGAGGAGCGAAAGCAUGGGGAGCGAACAGGAUUAGAUACCCUGGUAGUCCAUGCCGUAAACGUUGGGAACUAGAUGUGGGGACCAUUCCACGGUCUCCGUGUCGCAGCUAACGCAUUAAGUUCCCCGCCUGGGGAGUACGGCCGCAAGGCUAAAACUCAAAGGAAUUGACGGGGGCCCGCACAAGCGGCGGAGCAUGCGGAUUAAUUCGAUGCAACGCGAAGAACCUUACCAAGGCUUGACAUAUACCGGAAACAUGCAGAAAUGUGUGCCCCGCAAGGUCGGUAUACAGGUGGUGCAUGGUUGUCGUCAGCUCGUGUCGUGAGAUGUUGGGUUAAGUCCCGCAACGAGCGCAACCCUCGUUCUAUGUUGCCAGCACGUAAUGGUGGGAACUCAUAGGAGACUGCCGGGGUCAACUCGGAGGAAGGUGGGGAUGACGUCAAAUCAUCAUGCCCCUUAUGUCUUGGGCUUCACGCAUGCUACAAUGGCCGGUACAAAGGGCUGCGAUACCGUAAGGUGGAGCGAAUCCCAAAAAGCCGGUCUCAGUUCGGAUUGAGGUCUGCAACUCGACCUCAUGAAGUCGGAGUCGCUAGUAAUCGCAGAUCAGCAACGCUGCGGUGAAUACGUUCCCGGGCC